GGAGGCGUUCUGGACGCGGGUUCGAUUCCCGCCACCUCCACCUAAGAGUUUCGGAGAGUUCUUAGGUGGGGGUGUACUGGCUUCGACAGGGCGGGCAAAGGUGCGCAGGCAACUCGUCAGGCGAUCGACGUUAAUGAAGCAAAUCUCCAAACGCCAACGAUGAGCGUUUCGCAAUCGCCGCUUAAGGCUUUUGCCGAGGCUGCUUGAGCCUUGUUACCAAAGAAAAGCCGGU
rnacentral:tmRNA from 11 species